rnacentral:rRNA from 1 species
CCUACGGGAGGCAGCAGUGAGGAAUUUUCCGCAAUGGGCGAAAGCCUGACGGAGCAAUACCGCGUGAGGGAUGAAGGAUUUUGGUCUGUAAACCUCUUUUCUCAAGAAAGAAGUUCUGACGGUACUUGAGGAAUAAGCAUCGGCUAACUCCGUGCCAGCAGCCGCGGUAAUACGGGGGAUGCAAGCGUUAUCCGGAAUGAUUGGGCGUAAAGCGCCUGUAGGUUGUUUAUUAAGUCCGUUGUUAAAGCCUAGGGCUCAACCCUAGAAAAGCAAUGGAAACUAGUAGACUAGAGUAUGGCAGGGGUAGAGGGAAUUUCUAGUGUAGCGGUGAAAUGCGUAGAUAUUAGAAAGAACACCGGUGACGAAAGCGCUCUACUGGACCAUUACUGACACUCAGAGGCGAAAGCUAGGGUAGCAAAAGGGAUUAGAUACCCCUGUAGUCCUAGCCGUAAACGAUGGAUACUAGAUGUUGUGCAUUAUGUACAGUAUCGUAGCUAACGCGUUAAGUAUCCCGCCUGGGGAGUACGCUCGCAAGGGUGAAACUCAAAUGAAUUGACGG